UACGGAGGGUCCAAGCGUUAUCCGGAAUCAUUGGGUUUAAAGGGUCCGUAGGCGGUUUUGUAAGUCAGUGGUGAAAGCCCAUCGCUCAACGGUGGAACGGCCAUUGAUACUGCAAGACUUGAAUUAUUGGGAAGUAACUAGAAUAUGUAGUGUAGCGGUGAAAUGCUUAGAGAUUACAUGGAAUACCAAUUGCGAAGGCAGGUUACUACCAAUAUAAUUUGACGCUGAUGGACGAAAAGCGUGGGGAGCCGAACGAG
rnacentral:rRNA from 1 species